GCGAACGGGUGAGUAACACGUGGGCAAUCUGCCCUUCACUCUGGGACAAGCCCUGGAAACGGGGUCUAAUACCGGAUAAUACCUUCUCCUGCAUGGGAGGGGGUUGAAAGCUCCGGCGGUGAAGGAUGAGCCCGCGGCCUAUCAGCUUGUUGGUGGGGUGAUGGCCUACCAAGGCGACGACGGGUAGCCGGCCUGAGAGGGCGACCGGCCACACUGGGACUGAGACACGGCCCAGACUCCUACGGGAGGCAGCAGUGGGGAAUAUUGCACAAUGGGCGAAAGCCUGAUGCAGCGACGCCGCGUGAGGGAUGACGGCCUUCGGGUUGUAAACCUCUUUCAGCAGGGAAGAAGCGCAAGUGACGGUACCUGCAGAAGAAGCACCGGCUAACUACGUGCCAGCAGCCGCGGUAAUACGUAGGGUGCGAGCGUUGUCCGGAAUUAUUGGGCGUAAAGAGCUCGUAGGCGGCUUGUCACGUCGGUUGUGAAAGCCCGGGGCUUAACCCCGGGUCUGCAGUCGAUACGGGCAGGCUAGAGUGUGGUAGGGGAGAUCGGAAUUCCUGGUGUAGCGGUGAAAUGCGCAGAUAUCAGGAGGAACACCGGUGGCGAAGGCGGAUCUCUGGGCCAUUACUGACGCUGAGGAGCGAAAGCGUGGGGAGCGAACAGGAUUAGAUACCCUGGUAGUCCA
rnacentral:rRNA from 4 species